GACGAACGCUGGCGGCGCGCUUAACACAUGCAAGUCGAGCGAAGCGGCGGACGGGUGAGUAACACGUGAGUAACCUGCCUUAGACAUUGGGAUAGCCUCGUACAACCGGGAUUAAUACCAAAUGGUCUAAGAUGGACUCGCGUCCCAUUAGCUAGUUGGUGGGUAACGGCCCACCAAGGGGACGAUGGGUAGCCGGCAUGUGAGGGUGAACCGCCACAUUGGAACGGGGCAACGGUGCAAAAUCUACGGGAGGCAGCAGUGGGGAAUAUUGCAAGACGGAGGGAACUAUGAUGCAGCGAGGCCGCGAGAACGAUGAAGGCUUUCGAGUCGUAAAGUUCUUUUAUAUGGGAAGCGGUACCAUAAGAAAAAGCCCCGGCUAACUACGUGCCAGCAGCCGCGGUAAUAC
rnacentral:rRNA from 1 species